rnacentral:rRNA from 1 species
UACGGAGGGUGCAAGCGUUAUCCGGAUUUACUGGGUUUAAAGGGUGUGUAGGCGGAUUAUUAAGUCAGCGGUGAAAUCUCCGGGCUCAACCCGGAAACUGCCAUUGAUACUAUUAGUCUUGAAUAUUGUUGAGGUGGGCGGAACGGGUCAUGUAGCGGUGAAAUGCAUAGAUAUGACCCGGAACACCGAUUGCGAAGGCAGCCCACUAAGCAAUGAUUGACGCUGAGGCACGAAAGCGUGGGGAUCAAACAGG